GGGGAUUUAGCUCAGUGGUAGAGCGCUUGCCUGGCAAGCACAAGACCCUGGGUUCGGUCCCCAGCUCCG
rnacentral:tRNA from 1 species